UCCUGUUAACAGCCUCAGCUGAGCAUCUAGCCAACUGCCAGCCAUGUGAACACGUCAUUUGGGAUUCUGGCCCACUUGAGCCCCAGAUGACUGCAGAUCCAAGGGACAUCAUGUGGGGCAGAAGAACCACCUAGCUGAGGCCUGUUAAACCACAGACUCACGAAAGGGUUGGCUGUGUGACUGACAGAACACAGAAGUGAUGCAUGCUGCACGAGGGAGCCACCUUGGGAGCAACACCUCCAGCCCCAGUCAAGCCUUGGGAUGACGGCAGCCCCAGCAGACAGCUUGAUGGAAACCUCAGGAAGACCCUGAUCCAGAACCACCCAGCUGAGCCCGGCCUUCCAGUCAUCUCCACAAGGCCCUAGACGUGUGAAGCAGGAAGCUAUCUGGACCCUCCGGACCAGCCCCGCCACCAGAUAAACACUGCUGAGUUAAUGCACAUGGAGCAGAAGAAUUGCCUGAGACUUGCACAGAUUCUUGACUUUGUGACAACUGUG
rnacentral:lncRNA from 1 species